CAAAUUUAAAGUUUAAUCAAUAUAAAAACAAAACACCAGAAGAGACAAUGAACACAUGAAAAUGAAAACAAACAAUACAUAUGAGACGAGAGAGCAUAACGUUUCAACAGAAGACAAUCAAAGCAAGACAAUGAGUGCAGUUCAAACUGUGACUAUAUACGCACAAGUGGUUAACAUGAAUGAGAACCAGGUGCAGGUGGUCAUGUGACACUCAGAAUGUUUACAUAGACAACAAUACUCCGAUAUUAACCUGAUUAAGACAAUACUCUGAUUAAGAAACUAUCGUGUAAACAGUGAUUAUUGGUGACCUUAAUCCGAUUAAAGUCAUACUCGAAGUAAACACUAAUCGGAUUAAGACAUAAGGAGUAUUCCUGUUUUAGUCGCAUUAUCGAAGUGCAUUACAGACAUGUACACAGCUUAAUCACACUAUUAACGUCGUGUGGGAGUUUUCACUGCAUUUUGCGACAGGACACGUACACACACGGCACUGAUCAACCGUUUUACGGCAAACAAGAGAGCAUGACUGCAUCCGAAACCGCAUACUUAACUUAUAUAUAGUGAAAUACAUGUACAUAGUAGGCGAAAUACAUAUAUCUCGGCUACUAUAUAGUAGGUAAGUACACGGUUUGGGACUCAGCCCAUGGCUUCAAGCAGUCGUCUAUUUGCACGUAUAGCAUGACUUAUAAUUGACUGCACUUGAGGCUUUUGUAAAAUUAAAAAUAAAAACACCUAAAACUGUAUACGGCAUCAAAACAAAGACGAACUGUAUGUCAGUACGUGAAAUUCUGGAGGUAACAUUGGACGGUGUGGCGCUGUGAUGUAAUGACGUGUGCCGUUAAUCGAUCUAUGUUCUAUAACUUUUAAAACAGGAACACGAAAGGAGUAUUCUAAAAGCGACUCAUGUAAACAGCUUAAUCACAAUACUGUCUUACUCAGAAUAAGGUCAAUAAUUAGAUUACUGCUGUCCAUGUAAACUGGUGGCUCAGUGGUUAAAGACUCUGGGUUACUGAUCAGAAGGUCAGGAGUUCAAGCCCCAGCCAAGCUACUAUUGUUGGGCCCUUGGGCAAGGCCCU
ensembl:lncRNA